UGUUGGGAGCCAAGGGGGAAGGAGAUCUGCCUGAGCGAGCAAAGGGGAGAGGCCUGACUGCACGAGCAGCUCAUGAUACUGGAUCACUCCCUUGAGGAACAACCACCUUCCUGGACCCCCAUUUCCUCUGGCUUGCUUGCAACUUGGAUUGAAAAUAAAAGGGAGCUGGAAAUUCCUAUUGGGAUUGUGAGCAUGUUGGGAAAUCCCAUGGUGAGAAGAGUGGCCUCUGCAUCUAGCAGAGCAGGUGGUGCCACACACCCUCAAGUAGAAACUCCAGCGCGGAGGAUGUCCCAUAGCUGAAGAUGGAGGGAGCACCACGGCCAUCUCCUUGAUGACACUGCAGACUCAUCUCUAUGCUGAGCAGACACUGCUGAGAGCUGGAUUUCUGCCUAUGGGGUCAGGCAGAAAGAGACAUCAUCCAUUCUAAAGUCUCUUCAGCAAUCUUCUGAGGCUGCGGGCAAGCAGGUGACAUCUGGGAGUCUGAUGAUAUAGAUGCAUGGAAAUCCUUUUUGGCUGAUGCGGUUACUGCCACCAGUAGGACAACCACAGCAGUAGAGAGCACAACUACUGUCACAGCCACAGCUAUAGACAAUGCAACUACUGUCAAAGCCAUGCCUAUAGAGAAGAUGGCUAAUGUUGUGGCUAUGACAGCUUUCCCUCUCCAGUCUGAGACCCAAAAUAAGUGUCACAGGUUCCCCACACCCUCCCCUCUAGCCCUCAUGUAUAUCUAGGCAGGGGCAAGGGGGGGGGGGGGGGAAGAAGCAUGGCAUGAGCUGAUGAUUGUGUGCCUGUAGCAGCUUCAUUGCCAGGCUAGCUUCCCUCCCAGUAAACACAUCCUGCGUAUACAUCCUUCCUCCCCCUCCCCCCACAGUGCAGUGGGGGGAAAUUACUAUGGGGCAGGAACUGCAAGCACAAUACCACCAAUUCAUGAUGUAUCUGGAGAGACUGCCCUCCCUCAAGCCCAGGAUAGUAAUGCACUAGUAAGCACACUGGUCACUGCCCCAUGCUCGCUGCCCAUACCAAAGCAGACCAGCCCCCAGAGAGUCAUUCACCCCUGGAAACCCCAAUCGCUGCCCCCUACCCCCCACCCCCAUCCCACCCUCACUUGGCCAGGAAGAUGAAAAUCAAAUUAGACCUAUGCAUCGCCAAAAGGUUUGUUUUCCAGUUGUUGGCAGUUGACCGAUCAGUGCAUUUUGAACCUCCCCUGCAAGUUCCCAUGCCCCAGCCAUCCCAGCCAAGCAAAAGAUAGCCUGCAUGAAGAGCUUGGUGUCUAUUUCAGUCCUUGAGCUUUGAACCAGGCUUGGCAGGGGAGACAGAACAGCAAAGCAAGGCUUUGAAGGCCUCUUUUGAUCUUUAUGCCAGAGGAUCAUACCACACUGUACUGUAUAUUAAACUCUAUUAAAAGCCAUAGCAUCAUUUUCAGUGUUAAUUUCCUUACACUAAAGAGUGUGAGUGGCAUUUACAUUUACAGUUCUACCUCCUGGACCAUCCUGGUGAGCAAUCUAUGCUUGCUCAUAAGGCUCUGCUGCCCCCCAGUCCCUGG